rnacentral:rRNA from 1 species
GAUGUUCUAACGUGGAUCCGUAAUCCGGGUUGCGGACAGUGUCUGGUGGGUAGUUUGACUGGGGCGGUCUCCUCCUAAAGAGUAACGGAGGAGCACGAAGGUUGGCUAAUCCUGGUCGGACAUCAGGAGGUUAGUGCAAUGGCAUAAGCCAGCUUGACUGCGAGCGUGACGGCGCGAGCAGGUGCGAAAGCAGGUCAUAGUGAUCCGGUGGUUCUGAAUGGAAGGGCCAUCGCUCAACGGAUAAAAGGUACUCCGGGGAUAACAGGCUGAUACCGCCCAAGAGUUCAUAUCGACGGCGGUGUUUGGCACCUCGAUGUCGGCUCAUCACAUCCUGGGGCUGAAGUAGGUCCCAAGGGUAUGGCUGUUCGCCAUUUAAAGUGGUACGCGAGCUGGGUUUAGAACGUCGUGAGACAGUUCGGUCCCUAUCUGCCGUGGGCGCUGGAGAACUGAGGGGGGCUGCUCCUAGUACGAGAGGACCGGAGUGGACGCAUCACUGGUGUUCGGGUUGUCAUGCCAAUGGCACUGCCCGGUAGCUAAAUGCGGAAGAGAUAAGUGCUGAAAGCAUCUAAGCACGAAACUUGCCCCGAGAUGAGUUCUCCCUGAGACUUA